rnacentral:rRNA from 1 species
CACAUACAAGUCGCCGAGAGGGUUACAUUCGGGAUGUGGAGUACAGUGGCGAACGGGUGAGUACACGUGGGUAACCUGCCCUCGGGACCGGGAUAACUGGGCGAAAGGCCCGCUAAUACCGGAUAACGCCACAUGGGCUUCGGUCCAAUGGGUCGAAGUCGGCCUCUCAAAGAAGCUGGCGCCCAAUGAGGGGCUCGCGUACCAUUAGCUUGUUGGUAGGGUAACGGCCUACCAAGGCAAAGAUGGUUAGCUGGUCUGAGAGGAUGAUCAGCCACACUGGAACUGACACACGGUCCAGACUCCUACGGGAGGCAGCAGUGGGGAAUAUUGCGCAAUGGGGGAAACCCUGACGCAGCAACGCCGCGUGGGUGAAGAAGGCCCUCGGGUUGUAAAGCCCUGUCAGGUGCGAAGAACCCUUUUCAGGUUAAUACCCUGGAGGGCUGACGGUACCACCAAAGGAAGCACCGGCUAACUCCGUGCCAGCAGCCGCGGUAAGACUGAGGGUGCAAGCGUAGUUCGGAAUUACUGGGCGUAAAGCGCGUGUAGGCAGUUCGAUAAGUCGAAUGUGAAAGCCCGGGGCUUAACCUCGGAAGCGCACUCGAAACUG